UACAGAGGGUGCGAGCGUUGUUCGGAAUCAUUGGGCGUAAAGGGCGUGUCGGCGGUUUGUUAAGUCAUGUGUGAAAUCCCUCGGCUCAACCGGGGAAGGACGCAUGAAACUGGCAAGCUAGAGUACCAAAGAGGGGGGUGGAAUUCCCGGUGUAGCGGUGAAAUGCGCAGAUAUCAGGAGGAACACCAAUGGCGAAGGCAGCUCACUGGGACGGUAUUGACGCUGAGACGCGAAAGCGUGGGGAGCAAACAGG
rnacentral:rRNA from 1 species